rnacentral:lncRNA from 1 species
AACUAAGUCGCAUAAAUAUGCUCCUAUCAAAUUCCCCCACACUUAGCUUUUGCUAGUCCCCGAGCAAACAAAGAAAUAAAACGAAACUAAACAAAUACAACACAACCUAAACCUUCCAACAUUUGCCACAGGGAUUUCCAAUGCACAUGACAUGUUAAAGAUUAUCAUCCCCACAUAUUUGAGUCAUCUCUACACUUAAGCACAUACUUAAUCACAGUCACUACUUACUUGUUCACGUUAAUCAAUUAAAACAAUGUUUUGAAUGUAGUGACAUGCCUUAGAGAGUUCGCUCAAGUCCUUACAAAGUAUGCACUCAAUUUUCACUCAGAUUUCCAACUACACACCCUAUACUAGUCAUAUGUGAGAAGAUUGAUGUAAACAUGAAAACGAAUGCUCACAUAUAUGUAUUACAAAGAAAGCGAUUUCUGGAACAUGUUUAGAUAUGAUCUCAUGAAUGGAAUGCUACUACUUAGAUGCGAGAACCAGUGACACCAUAUGCUCAUAUCAAUUUCAAACUCCACAUAUUUAAACGCAUGAUACUCAAGAUGAAGUCAAAGGUUGUAACGGGCUUGGGGUGUUGGCUAACAAAUGAAGGUAAGGGAAAACAAACGUUCUUAAAGCAAUAGCAAAUAAAAUA